UACGAAGGGGGCUAGCGUUGCUCGGAAUCACUGGGCGUAAAGCGCGCGUAGGCGGCUUUCUAAGUCAGGGGUGAAAUCCUGGAGCUCAACUCCAGAACUGCCUUUGAUACUGGAGAGCUUGAGUCCGGAAGAGGUGAGUGGAACUCCGAGUGUAGAGGUGAAAUUCGUAGAUAUUCGGAAGAACACCAGUGGCGAAGGCGGCUCACUGGUCCGGUACUGACGCUGAGGUGCGAAAGCGUGGGGAGCAAACAGG
rnacentral:rRNA from 1 species